rnacentral:rRNA from 1 species
UACGUAGGGGGCAAGCGUUGUCCGGAUUUAUUGGGCGUAAAGAGCGUGUAGGCGGUUAGGUAGGUCCGUUGUGAAAACUCGAGGCUCAACCUCGAGACGCCGAUGGAAACCAUCUGACUAGAGUCCGGAAGAGGAGAGUGGAAUUCCUGGUGUAGCGGUGAAAUGCGCAGGUAUCAGGAAGAACACCCGUGGCUAAGGCGGCUCUCUAGUACGUGACUGACGCUGAGACGCGAAAGCGUGGGGAGCGAACAGG